rnacentral:lncRNA from 1 species
GCUAGAUGGUCACUUCGAUUAGUAUAGAAAUUGGUUCCUGUGCUACCGGCUUAGGUUCGAACCUGCGGGGUCACACACAUUAGAGGUUCCUAUCUGAUCUGAUGGCUGAUGAAGAGUCCUAAUGCUCGUGAACUUUGAGUCCUACGUGUUUGAGACUCUGUGAUCAAGAAUCAGGAUUCUCUGAUCACGAGUUUCACACAUUUUGGGUACCGGGGUCAAGAGUUUCACUGGUUUGAGA